UUAUAAAAAAAGACCCAAAACUGAUCCCGUUUUGGGUCUAGGGGAAGCAGCUCAUGUUGAUCGAGCCUGCGUUAAUUAUGUCUUUAAAGCAUGUUACUUAUGUCUUUAAAGCAUGUUACUUGUGACAAUUUACUUU
rnacentral:sRNA from 1 species